rnacentral:rRNA from 1 species
CGCAUCUGUGCAUGCAGCAUAUCAAUAAGCGGAGGAAAAGAAACUAACAAGGAUUCCCCUAGUAACGGCGAGUGAAGCGGGAAGAGCUCAAAUUUGAAAUCUUAAAGGGUUUCCCUUUACGAAUUGUAGUUUAAAGAAGUGUUUUCUGUUGAGGUUUUGGUAAAAGUUCUUUGGAAUAGGACAUCAUAGAGGGUGAGAAUCCCGUAUUUGACCUUUACUUUCAACUUUGUGAUACACUUUCAAAGAGUCGGAUUGUUUGGGAAUGCAGUCCAAAAUGGGUGGUAAAUUUCAUCUAAAGCUAAAUAUUGGCGAGAGACCGAUAGCGAACAAGUACCGUGAGGGAAAGAUGAAAAGAACUUUGAAAAGAGAGUUAAACAGUACGUGAAAUUGUCAAAAGGGAAGCGUUUGACAUCAGUGUUGUUUUUCUGAAAAUCAAUUAAAGAACUGUUUAUGCUAAGUUGUUUAGACUUUAUCAGCUAUCUGUUUAGUUUUAGGCUUUUCUUUAAUGCACUUUUCAGUUAACAAGUCAACAUCAAUUUCUUUUGCUGUAAAAAAGCUUGAGGAAGGUGGCUUGAGAUUCGUCUUAAGUGUUUAUAGCCUCCUGCCUAUGCAGUCGGAGAGAUUGAGGUCUGCAGCGUAGAUCCUUCGGGGCUAAAUGCAUUUGUGCUAAGUUAUAGCAUUUUAUAGACAACUUGUUGACUAUGAUUUGUCUUGUAGCUUACUCGCUUAUGUUAUUUUACCUACGCUUAGGAUGUUGAACGCGCACAGAGUCUC